rnacentral:rRNA from 1 species
UGGGGAAUAUUGGACAAUGGGGGGAACCCUGAUCCAGCCAUGCCGCGUGUGUGAAGAAGGCCUUAUGGUUGUAAAGCACUUUAAGCGAGGAGGAGGGUACUGGUAUUAAUACUACCAGCUACUGGACGUUACUCGCAGAAUAAGCACCGGCUAACUCUGUGCCAGCAGCCGCGGUAAUACAGAGGGUGCGAGCGUUAAUCGGAUUUACUGGGCGUAAAGCGUGCGUAGGCGGCUAAUUGAGUCGGAUGUGAAAUCCCCGAGCUUAACUUGGGAAUUGCAUUCGAUACUGGUUAGCUAGAGUGUGGGAGAGGAUGGUAGGAUUCCAGGUGUAGCGGUGAAAUGCGUAGAGAUCUGGAGGAAUACCGAUGGCGAAGGCAGCCAUCUGGCCUAACACUGACGCUGAGGUACGAAAGCAUGGGGAGCAAACAGG